UUUCAAAACCGGUUAGACGAGGCACGUAAGGCGCAGGUUAGGAUCGGAGCGGAGCAGGGUGAGGGUGAGGGUAAGAUCGGCGGUCUUCUUGGGAUGGGGGGAACGGGUUACGGGGGGCUAGGGGUAUCGGUGGCGUGCCGGAGAGAGGAGGAAGGGAGGGCGGCGAGGGAGAGGAACGAGCGUCGACGGAGGAAGGGUGGAGACGGGCUCGAGGCGGAAGGAGUGGGCGGAGGAGGAGGAACGGUAGCCGUCUUCGGAGUUCGGUGCCGUAGUGGCGGUGGUCUAGGUGGAGCGUUGGAGAGAAGGAGGGGACAGACUGACGACGCACCAGCGCAGUCCGGGUACGGCCCCGGCAGCGGUGCCGACGUCGGCGGCGGCGACCUACCGAGGCAGCCAGGGAGGGCGAGGUCUAGCUUUUGACUCUCUCGCUGCCCUCCCUUCUUCCCCUAGCCCCCUCCCAUCUCGUGCCCUCUCUUCCGCUCGAGCGCCGACUGGCGUCACACACUCCGCCUGCCCACUCUUUGUAAACACCAGCACGGCAACCGCUGACCUCUAAACCUUACGCCGGCACCGGUACCCGCCAGGACCUCGACCUAGCGCACACACGACGGAGGUUGGACGAAACGACGAGGACGCUAGAGUUCUGCACACGUCUAGACUCCUGCUUCCCUUCUUAUUCUUCUUAAAUCGAUCUCUAGACUUCUUCUAGUUCCACUAAAAAGAGGGAGGACAAUUCGAAACAAUAGAGUAAAACUACGAUAACAAACACUAACUACAUUUGUACUCCUUCUAUUCUCUAGUGUUGCUCCGAUUUACUCUAAACACCACUGGUUUUAAGAAAGAAACAAAUGGAUGUCUUGAAAUAACGUGAUAACUAAUACAUGAUAAAAGGAAAGGAUUUCCUUCUACGGCUCAGUACAUUGUAGAAAUUUCUUCUCUCUUAGACGUAAAACAAGUACACGAAAGUCAAUCCCACCUAAACACAAAAGUCUUUACUCCGUUGGAAUGUACAUGUAUAAGUGUAUAAAGGAAAUAUUGUGAUGGUCGUGUGUACUCAAGAACACAAAAAUCUCGAAGUACCUUUGUCCUAAGCCACGACGGGUGAAUCAGAAAAAAACGUCUAUAUAAAGGAAAUAGUGAGGGGGUCAUCUGCACUCAAGAACACCGCCCCAAAAAGUACGGCAGUACAAUCCUUAAAUAAUAGCCUAACAUCUACUCCAGGAAGAAGUCAAGUCGAUGCGACCCGUGACAAAGGUGAAGAACAAAGAAUGAAUAAGUACACGAAAGUCAAUCCCGCCUAAACACAAAAGUCUUUACUCCGUUGGAAUGUACGUGUAUAAGUGUAUAAAGGAAAUAUUGUGAUGGUUGUCUGUACUCAAGAACACAAAAAUCUCGAAGUACCUUUGUCCUAAGCCACGAAGGGUGAAUCAGAAAAAAACGUCUAUAUAAAGGAAAUAGUGAGGGGGUCGUCUGCACUCAAGAACACCGCCCCAAAAAGUACGGCGGUACAAUCCUUAAAUAAUAGUCUAACAUCUUCCGGUUUUUUCCGCCUCUGCUCAGUACCUAGGACGACCGUUACCGAUGACCAACAUCUACCUUAAAUUCGUCUCCUUAGCGUUUUCAACACGGGGUACUCCGAUCGCUGGUUUCCGGGCUAAACAAAGGCAACUUCGAAUACAAGUCGAACCGGGAAGUAGACCCACAUACCAAUAGGAGUAGAGAUAUGCGCGUACGUACCUGCUCGAAGUCAGACUACUCCUCUUUUGUUAGUACAACUCAAAAUUAGUCUUGUCCACCUGUUGGUACAUUUUCCAACCUUCUUGACAAGAUAAAAACGUAGACGUUGGUCGACGACGACGAGUUCUAAACGAGAGGAAAAGGUUACGUACAUCAUGUAGUACUUCACCGUCCGACCUUCUUCAGGUUUCGGUCAAAGGCAGCCUACUCUUAAGUAUCGUAGUAACACUCUACCUCAGCUAAGUUCGUAGUGUACAACCUUUAUGACGUGGUAUCACUGUAUUCCCCGUAGCGUAAGUCCUUUGGAUUACUAAGGUAUAUGUGGAAGGGUUACGGACUAACGUAUACGGUUGUUCUACCUUAUACUAGAUCCGCAAUCGUAUGUAUUGACUCCCUACGUAUAGGAGACGGAAACACGUUGUUUCCGUGGUUUCCGUACCGUAACAACUGACGUACUAGUCCUAAACUACCAGUACUACUUUUGACCUCACUUUAUUUCGUAAACCGCGAAGAGUCCUCUAAGAAUUUGGGAGACCGUAUGGGGUUUGGCAAGCUAAGACCUAUAUUACCAGUUUUCCACGGAUUACUGUUACUAAAGGUAUCCUAAUCUUUAACUCUCCUACGCUCCCUAAAACAUUUCAAUCAUUAGACAUCCAUCAGGUGGUAUAUCGUUAGAGGUAAACAAGUUACCCAACACCUAUACUCAUGUUGGACUCACGGAGCUACAUAUAAGCUUUUGUUGUUUCUUUCCUUUAAAAGUCAUAUAGUAAUGAGUAGUCACGAACAAGAGCGUAAAGUAGAACGGGAACUGUCAAGUAUAAAUACUCGUACAAGACUGUCAAGUCUGGAUUGUAAGAAAAAAGAAAGGAACCCGUGAAGGAGUUCUUAGAACAACUCCACAGACAAAGGGGAGAAACAAAGUACUUACUAACACUACCGACGUCCCAGAAGCGUUCCUCAACUUCCGUAUAUUUUUGGUACCUAGGAAACGAGGAAUCCGGCGUUUUACUAGUGUCACUACAGAUGCUGGAGGAGGAGCUACAUAAUUAGAGUUAGAGUACAAACCAAAAGAAGGGAAAAGAGAAGAUUACUACAUUAAAGAAAAUGAUUAUAUUGUGGUACAUAGGAAAAAGAUGAAACUUACUUAAAUGGCAUACAUAAAGAAUAAAUCAAAUCAAGUAGUAAGUCUCUGCCACCUUAUAAAAACAGGAAGUGUCCAAUUUACUCGUAACACAU
rnacentral:rRNA from 1 species